GUCGAGCGAACGGACGAGAAGCUUGCUUCUCUGAUGUUAGCGGCGGACGGGUGAGUAACACGUGGAAACCUACCUAUAAGACUGGGAUAACUUCGGGAAACCGGAGCUAAUACCGGAUAAUAUUUUGAACCGCAUGGUUCAAAAGUGAAAGACGGUCUUGCUGUCACUUAUAGAUGGAUCCGCGCUGCAUUAGCUAGUUGGUAAGGUAACGGCUUACCAAGGCAACGAUGCAUAGCCGACCUGAGAGGGUGAUCGGCCACACUGGAACUGAGACACGGUCCAGACUCCUACGGGAGGCAGCAGUAGGGAAUCUUCCGCAAUGGGCGAAAGCCUGACGGAGCAACGCCGCGUGAGUGAUGAAGGUCUUCGGAUCGUAAAACUCUGUUAUUAGGGAAGAACAUAUGUGUAAGUAACUGUGCACAUCUUGACGGUACCUAAUCAGAAAGCCACGGCUAACUACGUGCCAGCAGCCGCGGUAAUACGUAGGUGGCAAGCGUUAUCCGGAAUUAUUGGGCGUAAAGCGCGCGUAGGCGGUUUUUUAAGUCUGAUGUGAAAGCCCACGGCUCAACCGUGGAGGGUCAUUGGAAACUGGAAAACUUGAGUGCAGAAGAGGAAAGUGGAAUUCCAUGUGCAGCGGUGAAAUGCGCAGAGAUAUGGAGGAACACCAGUGGCGAA
rnacentral:rRNA from 1 species